rnacentral:tRNA from 1 species
GCCCGGUUAGCUCAGUCGGUAGAGCAUCAGACUUUUAAUCUGAGGGUCAAGGGUUCGAGUCCCUUAUCGAGCU